rnacentral:lncRNA from 1 species
UUCAUUUGGAACCCGAACUCAGAAGUAGGGGGACUGGUGUUGGGUAUAAAAUACCCCCAGCCGAAGUUUGUAAAAGACCGACCCUUCCAGGACUUUUUCGACUUCCGACCUUGUGUGGUGUCUCUCUGAACCCCCUUGACUGUCCGAGCUUCCAUAAUACCAUCUGGACUUCUCCGACAAUGAGCUUCUCCAUUCAUCUACCGGGCUGCUCCAAAGACUCUCUGGGCUUCACUAUCAGUCGAUCUUCUACAGUGAUCAACUAUUCUCCGAAUCACUUCCAGACUUCUUUCGGCCAUGGAUGACCCUACUCUGAACUUCUUUCGGACUUCGUCAAUAUUCGAGCUUCUCCGACAAUGAG